rnacentral:lncRNA from 1 species
ACCUACUCCAAGUCCACGGACGAUAACGUGGACAUUCCUGAUGUCCCCCUCCUGGCAGCCCAGACGUUUAUUCAGAGGGUGCAGAGCCUCCAGCUCCACCAUGAGCUGCACGCCGCCCACCUCCUCUCCAGCACAGACCUGAAGGAGGGCCGAGCCCACCGGCGGUCCUGGCAGCAGAAACUCAACUGCCAGAUACAGCAGACCACCCUGCAGCUGCUCGUGAGCAUCUUCAGGUCUUAGACACCUACAUGUUCCAUUCUUUUCUUAAAGCCCGGCUCAAUAGGAGGAUGGACGCCUUUGCUCAGAUGGACCUCGACACCCAGUCGGAGGAGGACAGAAUAAAUGGAAUGCUUCUAAGUCCAAGGAGACCGACCGUUGAGA